UCGCGGUACCCUCACCGCUGUCGGUGCUGAAUCCGUGAACUUCACCCUCUCCAUCGCGACCACGCCGCUUCGAGUCCCAUUACCGUUGCCCAAAUUGGUGUCGUCCACUGCUCGUACAUCCACCUCGACACCGUCAAUCCCAAUCGCGAUAGGUAAUUCCAAAUUUGCCUCUGAAUCUUCUACUUGGUGAAUUGCUUGUGUUGUCUUGUCCCGAAUUGCGAAACCCUGUAAUGUUGAUUGGAAUUUAGGCUUGUUCUGUAUUUGCUGUAAAAAAGUGGAGCUGACGGAUAGAUCUGAAUUUCUGGGUUUGAGAUUUGAAUUUCUGCCUGAUCUGCACUUUUUGUUGAAUCCUCUUGUUAUUGUUGAGGAAGGAGGAUCUAUAGAUGUGCGCUCGCAAAUCAAUUGGUUGGACGUCAUUUCCUUCAACUAAUCAGACCAGAUAUCUGUUUGUUGUCAGUUAUGCUUUUCUCGGAAGAAGUCCUGUUAAGUAUUUAUGGCAGUAAGUCUAUUUAGGUCGUUUGAGCAGAAGAUGAUGACACUAAGUUGUUGCUCCUUUUGGCUGUGCAUUCAAGGCCCUUUUGCACCACCUUAUUAUGUGUUUUGGGCAAGGUUUAGGACAUGCUAGAACCUAUAUCCUGUGUUUAUGUCAAUAGUGUACUGGACAUCAACUGUCUGACUUAUAAACUUUGUUAAGUUGAAUCUAGGGGAUCAGCUACUCGAGUAGCAACUAAAACAAGUCCAGUCUCAUCUAGGGUGAUUGGCCUUUUUUUAGUUGUGUGACCCUGAAUCCCUGUGAACGGUCUAAUUAUGUGAAUAAGUAAUGAAAUGUUGCGUCGUAUCUUAUUUUCUUAUUUGCAUAGGCAACUUAAAUAGUUACUAAACAAUAUGAAGAUUUUCAACUGAGUUGGAGAUAUCAUCCUCUC